rnacentral:ribozyme from 13 species
CUUUCAUUUCUUUUUCAAUUCUUUUUCUUUCUUUUUUGGAACCUCUGUCUCUUUUUAAAAUGGACGCAGAAACAGCAGAAGAAAAA